rnacentral:rRNA from 1 species
UACAGAGGGUGCGAGCGUUAAUCGGAAUUACUGGGCGUAAAGCGUGCGUAGACGGUAGCGUAAGUCAGAUGUGAAAGCCCCGGGCUCAACCUGGGAAUUGCAUUUGAGACUGCUCUGCUCGGGUGCGGAAGAGGGAAGCGGAAUUUCCGGUGUAGCGGUGAAAUGCGCAGAUAUCAGGAAGAACACCCGUGGCGAAGGCGGCUCGCUGGGACGGUACUGACGCUAAGGCGCGAAAGCGUGGGGAGCGAACAGG